GUUUUUUUUUUGUUUUUUUUUAAUGUGAUCUUUGCAAAUGCUGUGAGCAAAUAAAUGGUCAAAUUUCCCCAUGAACUGUAUACUUAUAUAUUUUAAGAACAUUCUAUAUAUUCCCUUCAGUAACUAUAUUGUACCAAAGAAAAUGGCUCAUGAAUACAAAAAUUUGAAUGUAAACAGGAAGUUCUUUGUUCAUGUUGUUGGAGGCAAACGGAAUAGAGCUAACUUGAAACUCUAAAAUGCUUUUAGAGAGAUAUCAGAUGAAAGAGGGUGCAUAUCUAGUUAUUUGAAGUAUGCCUAUGUAUGAAUUGAUGUAGUCAGAGAAAUCAGAUGGCUUCAGUGACUAUGCUACAGGAUGAUAUGAGGUUACAGACAGAAAUUUCAUCAAGGAUCAAGCAUAAAUUACAGAAUAUUUCAACUAUAAUUUAAAUGGCUGGAAUGAAGUUCCUGACACUGGUGAUGGUUUUGGAAAAGCAAAGAGACAUUCUGAUGCCACCUUGUAUUGAGCCUACGAUACUCCAAAAAUUUUCUAUCAAAUUAUUUUGAUAUUUAAUAUACCUUUUAGUUUAAUUUUCAAGUUUAAGCUAAGUAAAUUUUUAUUUUUCUUAACCACAGAUGUAAAAGCUGCUGGCAAAUGUGUUAUUCCCCUUUGAAUUUUAUACUUUUUGUGUUUUUGAAACCCAGACCUGUCUCAAUAUUUUAUUAAAAUAAUUUUGUAAUAAUAUUUCUUUUUUUUUCUUUCCACUUUUCCUCAGUGCCAGGCCUAAUUCAGAAAUGCCAAAGAUUUUCAAUCUUUUUCUAGGUUGCAAUUCUUUGAAAUUGUUUGGAUUUUCAUAACAAAUCUCAAUGGAAUUCAUAGGAAUUCACUGGAAAUUUGUGUCAAUACCAGCAAUGUUUUCCAAUGGUUUUCCAUCAAACCUUUCCAAACUUUUGCAAAGAAUGCUUAGAAAUUCCUUGAACUUUACUGCAAUGAUUUCCAAUGAAUUUUCAAAGAAUUCCAUGCCGAUUUUCAACUGCAUGUUCCCCUGGGUAUGUGAAUUUAAAUUCAAAUUAAUUUUCAGACUUCUCUACUCAAAAAUUCAAAGAAAAUUUCAACCUGGGAAAUUUUCCAAGGUUUCCGUGGUUUUUUUAAACUGAGAACAUUUUAUAUGCUUCUCAGUUUUUAGAACCUUGGAUAUUUUACAAGGAUUUCCGUGGUUUUCGUUUAUGGACCAUGGAAAAAAACACACGGAGAACUGCAAGAGUUCCGGGCCUUUUUACCAUGGAAAAUAUCCGAGGUUUUGUACCACAGAAAAUAUCCAAGGUUUUGUACCACGGAUUUGGUCCGAAUACUCCAAGGUUUCCGAGGUUUAUUACCACGGAAAAUAUUCAAGGUUUAAAACCACGGAAGUUGUCCGAAUACUCCAAGGUUUCCAAGGUUUCUAUCCAUGGAAAAAAUCCAAGGUUUUUUGCUGCGGAAAAUAUCCACGGUUAAGUACCACGGAAGUUGUCCGAAUACUCCAAGGUUUCCAUGCAUGUGCAUUUUACGAGGUUAUUUCGCCCAGGUUUCCGAGGUUUUAUUCCCUGAUUUUUUUUCUUUGGUCAAAAUCUUUCAAAAUAAAAGAGUCCGAAUACUCCAUGGUUUUUUUCCAAGCUGUUUUUCCAAGCUUUCCAUGGAAAAAGUACAG